rnacentral:rRNA from 1 species
UACGUAGGUCCCGAGCGUUGUCCGGAUUUAUUGGGCGUAAAGCGAGCGCAGGUGGUUUAUUAAGUCUGGUGUAAAAGGCAGUGGCUCGACCAUUGUAUGCAUUGGAAACUGGUAGACUUGAGUGCAGGAGAGGAGAGUGGAAUUCCAUGUGUAGCGGUGAAAUGCGUAGAUAUAUGGAGGAACACCGAUGGCGAAAGCGGCUCUCUGGCCUGUAACUGACACUGAGGCUCGAAAGCGUGGGGAGCAAACAGG